AAUUGGAGGGCAAGUCUGGUGCCAGCAGCCGCGGUAAUUCCAGCUCCAAUAGCGUAUAUUAAAGUUGUUGCAGUUAAAAAGCUCGUAGUUGAAUUUCGGGAUCAGUAUGUUGGUCGUGCUUCGGUACGUACUGUCAUUACUGGUUUCUCCCUUCUGAAGAACCUUGAUGUCAUUAAUUUGGUGUCUUGGGAAAUCAGGACUGUUACUUUGAAAAAAUUAGAGUGUUUAAAGCAGGCAUACGCUUGAAUACAUUAGCAUGGAAUAAUGAAAUAGGACGUUUGAUUCUAUUUUGUUGGUUUCUAGGAUUGACGUAAUGAUUAAUAGGGAUAGUUGGGGGCAUUAGUAUUCAAUUGUCAGAGGUGAAAUUCUUGGAUUUAUUGAAGACUAACUACUGCGAAAGCAUUUGCCAAGGAUGUUUUCAUUAAUCAAGAACGAAAGUUAGGGGAUCGAAGACGAUCAGAUACCGUCGUAGUCUUAACCAUAAACUAUGCCGACUAGGGAUCGGAUGAUGUUAAUUUUUUAAUGACUCAUUCGGCGCCUUACGGGAAACCAAAGUGU
rnacentral:rRNA from 1 species